UGAGAACGUUCGGCUACGCAGGGAGCUGCAAGGCGGGCUGAGCAUCCGCCGCCUCGUCCCACUCCCGGCAUCCGGGCUGGGAAUCUAACAGCAGCAGCAGCCGCCUGCCUGCAGGGGCCCGGCGCCCGAGCGGGGCAUCCUGAGGUUGGGCACCGUGGAGCGCCAUAUUGAAUGGAAGAAAGAUGGAAUGCCCUUGGUCUUCAGACAGUUUGGAAUGGUGAGCUUGAGGACAGUCCUGAAGGAACUGAAUCUGAACACUGGUAAACUGCUAACCCUGGCCAGGACUCCAUGGAUGAGGACCUAUUCCAGCAGGUGUUGGUCUGGACAUGAUCAGAGGCAUCCGAUAGAGGUGAUCUACUGGUGAUCGGUGUUUUCUACAUUGUCACUGCUGGCAGGAGAACCAACCACGAUACCAGGGAGUAGCCUCAGUGGAUUCCAGCUGAGACAGAGACCAUGUGGGUCAAAUCCCAGAGGGGAAUUGAAGUCGAAUUGGAUAAAAGGGAAGCCAGAAAGUUUCUGGAACUUGCUUCAGCAACCAUUUACAGAGUGCCCUGCACUCACUGAGAACACAGUGAUGAGGACUUGGGCCUCUCAGAGGAGAGGAGCUGUGGUGAUGAACAGGCCCAGGGCCACAGAAAAGAGAGGAGGGGCUGACUGAAGGGGUCAUGCAGGACAGGAUACUUGACCUGCUUUUGAGAGAUGGGCUCUUUAAACAAAGAAGUAAGGAAGAGUGUUUCAGCUAUGCUGAUAGAUGCCAGGGUUUGUACAGAAAAUAUCUGGGUAAGGCAUAUUUUGCAAAAUACAAAUAGGAUACAAAUAACCCCCCUUCAUCUUAAAACAUUGGCUAUUGGCACAUUAGAGAAGGCCUUAGACUGUGAGUUGCUCAAAAGCAUACCCCCUGGCGUAUUUUCCGUAUGCUCAACAAUAAGCAUCGAUCGCCUCCUGGCACAGAAUAAGUGCUCCAUUUAUGUUUAUGGAAGAAUCAGUCCAGCUCUGAAAUGUGUAUUCCUACGUCUUCUUUUGUGCAUGAAUGCAUAAUUGCUGAGUCGUGUCCAACUGUUUGUGAUCCUGUGGACUGUAACCCGCUAGGCUUCUCUGUCCGUGGAAUUCUCCAGUCAAGCAUACUGGAGUGGGUAGCCAUUUCCUUCUCCAGGGGAUCUUCCUGACCCAGGGUUUGAACCCAAGUCUCCGGCAUAGGCAAGUGAAUUCUUUACCACUGUGCCACCUGGGAAGCCCACAUCUUCUUUGAACAGUAAGCAAUGAGUAAUAGUAGAAUAAAAUAUCACUGUAGCUGGUAAUUCAAUGGCUAUCUUGGAGAUAAGGAUGAGAUUUUUAAUUGCUAAGACAGUUUACUCUGCUUGUAGUAGCCACAUUAUCUCUGUAUAAAUCAAGGUGGUUCUUCCAAGGUGAUGAAUGCUUUUGCUAAGUGAUCUACUCCCUCCUGGGCCCAGUGGAAGAAAGCAGUGGUUUUUAUUUUUGCGAGUGAGAAUUUUAAAAAUAAGAGAAGUUUGUAAGCUGUGGGUUCCCUGUGUGCCAAGCUCAGAAGGAGAGCAUAGGUUUCUGGUUUUUCACCUUCCCACAUGAAGAAAUCACAAAUAGGGACUCAGAGUCCAGAGAGUCCAGCAUCACGGACAUACCUGAGUUAACUCAUCCUCCGCCCACAGCCUAAGAAGGCACUUGCUUCUCAAAGCAACUGAACUGAGUCCCCAGAUCUGAAGAAUAAUCAUUGGUCACUUCUAGCCCACUAGUAAUCACUAGUGGGCUAGUCACUGUUAGUGUUCUACAAGAAUGAAAGAGUUAGCUGCUCAGUCGUGUCCGACUCUUUGUGACCCAGUGGACUGCAGCCUGCCAGGCUCCUCUGCCCAAGGGACUCUCCAGGCAAGAAUACUGCAGAAACCAUGGAUUUCCUGAACUCUUGUAUCUGCUUUGAGAUCAUGCUUUGUCAAGAGCCCACCCAUGCUGGGGAGAACUCACCAGGCUGAGGACCAGCUCCAACCAGGACUCUCCUGGCCCUGACACCUCUGCUGGAACACCUUGAGCAGAGGCGCGGAUCCUGCCUGGUGAAUAGCAUGAAAACUUGUCCUGUCUUUUCACCAUGAAGCUUCAAGAGCGGCCCUUUGAAGUGCAAAGAAGGAAGGACAGAUGUUCACCCCAGCAAAUGGGUUCCACCAGGAGGGAGGUGUGGGCAGGGCUGGGCGCAACAGAGCAGCCAGCCUGCAGCAGGUACCACCACGGCAGCAGGCCUUCCCCGAUGGGCUGAACAAGAGGAAACUGGCAAACACAACUGGGCUGUGUUUGAAGGCAUGAAGGGGAUGGCCUGGCUCCACGAGGCAUUUCCGCUGAGCACGAGAUCUGGAGGCAAACAGCUUUCCUGAUGCAACAGCACACAGACCCUGUUUCCACGGAACCUCAAGGCGGUUGACAUGGAACUGUUGUCAGAAUUGUCCUCUAAGUGGAAAACUGAAGCUGGAGCCCAUGGCUGCUGACAGCGUGGAUCCUGUAGCUAGGGAAUCUGCCCAUUGGUUCCUUUGCCUGGAAGAAAGAAAUGCAGUAGCAGGCAGACCUUCCCCACAAGCUGGUAAAUCAUGACCACGAUCACAUCUCAUGUCAGGACAGGAAUGUAAGGAAGCAUGAAAGAAAAUCCACCUUUCCUCUUAUUCUCCUUGUGCUUUGGAUUAUUGACACUUCCAUUCCGAAGCAGAUUCCGCACUUAGGGCUGCACUUAGGGCCACACUUAGUUGAAGAUGAACCUGAGUGAAGUUGAAGAAACAGACACACGCUGAGUCCUCAACCUGACAGCUGGCUGGUGGCGGUUCACGUUUCUGCUCUGCCGAAUGACACUUUCAACAAUGUCUUUGUUCCUCAACCUCCAUACCCUCCUUCACUAAUUUUGGCCAUCAUGUCUUUGAAAAAUGCCCUAUAAUAUUCCUCAUAAAUGUUUUAUACAUAUUUUAUUAGAUUGUUUCCAGUGCCUCACAUUUUGUUGUUAUUAAAGAAGAUAAGGUAGUGCUUUCUUUUAAAAGGUGAAGAAAAUUGUUAUUUAUUGGCCAUUGCUGGUAUUGAUUUUUAAAGUGAUUUUGUAUUCUAACAGCUUAAUUUCUAAUUGUUUUAGGUUGUCCAGGAUUUUUCUAACAUCUUAUCUAUGGCUUUUCACUUGUUACAUUUAUUUUCAAAGAUAUCUCUAUAGUAAUAGCAAUCAUUCACAUUUAUAGAGUUUUACUUAUUAGAUACUCUUCUGACAUUUUCUAGGUAUUCACUCUUCAGCCCCAUGGCAACUCUAUGGGGUAAAUAACAUUUUAUUCCUAUUUUAUUGCUGAAAGUUUGAUCAAAUACCAUUCAUGUAGUUAAGGAAAUUCUUGUA